GGUUAAGUGAAUAAGGGCGCACGGUGGAUGCCUUGGUACUAGGAGCCGAAGAAGGACGGAACUAACACCGAUAUGCUUUGGGGAGCUGUAAGUAAGCUAAGAUCCAAAGAUUUCCGAAUGGGGGAACCCAACACCUUUCAUAGGGUGUUACCAAUGAGUGAAUACAUAGCUCAUUAGGAGGUACACGCAGGGAACUGAAACAUCUCAUUACCUGCAGGAAGAGAAAGAAAAAUCGAUUCCCUGAGUAGCGGCGAGCGAAACGGGAGGAGCCCAAACCAACGAGCUUGCUUGUUGGGGUUGUAGGACUAGAACGUGAGAAGAAAUCAAGAUAGCAGAAGUGGUCUGGAAAGGCCCAUCAAAGAAGGUGACAAUCCUGUACGCGACAUCUUGAUGAACUCUACUAGCAUCCUGAGUACGGCGGGACACGAGGAAUCCCGUCGGAAUCCGCCAGGACCAUCUGGCAAGGCUAAAUACUACCUAGUGACCGAUAGUGAACCAGUACCGUGAGGGAAAGGUGAAAAGAACCCCGGGAGGGGAGUGAAAGAGUACCUGAAACCGUGUGCUUACAAGUAGUCAGAGCCCGUUAAUGGGUGAUGGCGUGCCUUUUGUAGAAUGAACCGGCGAGUUACGUUUACAUGCGAGGUUAAGAUGAAGAGUCGGAGCCGUAGCGAAAGCGAGUCUGAAUAGGGCGCAUGUAGUAUGUGGACGUAGACCCGAAACCAAGUGAUCUACCCAUGUCCAGGUUGAAGGUGCGGUAAAACGCACUGGAGGACCGAACCAGGGCACGUUGAAAAGUGCUUGGAUGAGGUGUGGGUAGCGGAGAAAUUCCAAUCGAACUUGGAGAUAGCUGGUUCUCUCCGAAAUAGCUUUAGGGCUAGCCUCGGAAUCAAGAAUCGUGGAGGUAGAGCACUGUUUGGACUAGGGGCCCAUCUCGGGUUACCGAAUUCAGAUAAACUCCGAAUGCCAUGUAUUUAUAUCCGGGAGUCAGACUGCGAGUGAUAAGAUCCGUAGUCGAAAGGGAAACAGCCCAGACCACCAGCUAAGGUCCCAAAAUAUCUGUUAAGUGGAAAAGGAUGUGGGGUUGCACAGACAACUAGGAUGUUGGCUUAGAAGCAGCCAUCAUUCAAAGAGUGCGUAAUAGCUCACUAGUCGAGUGACCCUGCGCCGAAAAUGUAACGGGGCUAAACAGAUUACCGAAGCUGUGGAUUGGACCUUAUGGUCCAGUGGUAGGAGAGCGUUCUAAGGGCUGUGAAGCAUGAUCGUAAGGACAUGUGGAGCGCUUAGAAGUGAGAAUGCCGGUAUGAGUAGCGAAAGACGGGUGAGAAUCCCGUCCACCGAAUAACUAAGGUUUCCUGGGGAAGGCUCGUCCUCCCAGGGUUAGUCGGGACCUAAGGCGAGGCCGAUAGGCGUAGUCGAUGGACAACAGGUUGAUAUUCCUGUACUUCUAUAAAUCGUUUGAGCAAUGGAGGGACGCAGGAGGCUAAGAAAAGCGUACGACUGGAAGUGUACGCCCAAGCAGUGAGUCGGCUGAUGAGUCAAAUGCUUAUCACAGAUGCGACAAGCUGUGACGGGGAGGGAAGUUUAGUACCGAAGUUUCUGACGUCACACUGCCGAGAAAAGCUUCUAGCAAGAUUUAUAGGACCCGUACCGCAAACCGACACAGGUAGUUGAGGAGAGAAUCCUAAGGUGAGCGAGCGAACUCUCGUUAAGGAACUCGGCAAAAUGACCCCGUAACUUCGGGAGAAGGGGUGCUGGUAGCAAUACCAGCCGCAGUGAAUAGGCCCAGGCGACUGUUUAUCAAAAACACAGGUCUCUGCAAAAUCGAAAGAUGACGUAUAGGGGCUGACGCCUGCCCGGUGCUGGAAGGUUAAGAGGAGAGGUUAGCGCAAGCGAAGCUUUGAAUUGAAGCCCCAGUAAACGGCGGCCGUAACUAUAACGGUCCUAAGGUAGCGAAAUUCCUUGUCGGGUAAGUUCC
rnacentral:rRNA from 1 species